rnacentral:lncRNA from 1 species
GCCCGCUUGAUCAUUACAACAUCACCUUGAAGGAGUUUUGAGAUCCGUGGUCCAAUGGAAAAUAUACGAGAUUAACAAUACAAUAAUGAAACGAGACUACUUGAACAAUGAUCAAUUAAUAAGAUAAAGUAAAAGGGUAAGCAAAAUAUAGAACUAUAUCGAAUAAGCAAAACAUAUAAAGGUCAUUGUCUCGAAGGAAAAACUCCC